rnacentral:rRNA from 1 species
ACGGGAGGCAGCAGUGGGGAAUAUUGCACAAUGGGGGAAACCCUGAUGCAGCGACGCCGCGUGAGUGAAGAAGUAUUUCGGUAUGUAAAGCUCUAUCAGCAGGGAAGAAAAUGACGGUACCUGACUAAGAAGCCCCGGCUAACUACGUGCCAGCAGCCGCGGUAAUACGUAGGGGGCAAGCGUUAUCCGGAUUUACUGGGUGUAAAGGGAGCGUAGACGGUGAAGCAAGUCAGAAGUGAAAGCUCGGGGCUCAACCCCGGAACUGCUUUUGAAACUGUUUUACUAGAGUGAAGGAGAGGUAAGCGGAAUUCCUAGUGUAGCGGUGAAAUGCGUAGAUAUUAGGAGGAACACCAGUGGCGAAGGCGGCUUACUGGACUGUAACUGACGUUGAGGCUCGAAAGCGUGGGGAGCAAACAGGAUUAGAUACCCUGGUA